CAGUCGCCACGGGAAUACGUAGGGUGCAAGCGUUAAUCGGAAUUACUGGGCGUAAAGCGUGCGCAGGCGGUUAUAUAAGUCAGAUGUGAAAUCCCCGGGCUCAACCUGGGAACUGCAUUUGAGACUGUAUGGCUAGAGUGUGUCAGAGGGGGGUAGAAUUCCUCGUGUAGCAGUGAAAUGCGUCGAUAUGUGGAGGAAUACAGAUGGCGAAGGCAGCCCCCUGGGAUAACACUGACGCUCAUGCACGAAAGCGUGGGGAGCAAACAGGAUUAGAUACCCCAGUAGUCCCUGUCUCUUAUAC
rnacentral:rRNA from 1 species